rnacentral:lncRNA from 1 species
CGCCCCGGCCCGGCCCAGCCCCGCCCCGCCCUGCGCGUUCCCGGGGGGGGGGGCGAGGGCGCGCCCCGCGGGCUCGGGCUCGGGCUCGGGCUCGGCCUCGGAGCCGCCCCUGCGGCAGGUUGCGCGGUCGUGCCCUUGGCUGCGCGAGGCUCGGAGCCCGGGCCGCGGGGCGCGCUCUCUCGGGGCCCGGACCGCCCGGAUCGCCGGCUUUCCGAACUCCUCCGAGACAGAACCUUUAAAGCCCCUUGAGCCCGGUACCUACCAGUCGUUGCGAGGCUCUGGAGAAAGAAGGGUUAUUUCCUGAAGAUUUGAUAAAAAUGAAAUACGGUCUAUACAACAGACAAAAGUAUCACUGCCCGGGGGGUGCAUAAUCCGAUAUACCAGUUGUCAAACAAUUAGCGAUGAACCUUCCUGCGUGGAAAACUUGACCGUAUAUGGAAUUGAAAGAAAAACUUGACAUCGAGAAGGCGAUCUCUGCUCUCAAAAAAACCUUGAGCUUCGCGAGCUCAUCUGGGGAUAGGAGGUUUUCAACGCUGUCAGUAAUAGCAGUACUGGAGCCUACAAAUCAUCUACUAAGAAUGUCUUGGCUAAUGUCCAUUUCUGAAUAGAGAAGUCAGAGAGUAACCUGCUGAACUUGGGAGAACACAAGAAUUAUUCCUGAAAGAGAUCAGAAUAUAUUUUGGGGAGAAAAAGUGAACAGAUGGAGAACAGACAUGGAGAUGCUACAGAGAUGACAGAGGCUAUUGGGGUGAGUGGAACUAAUAACUAUGAAAUCUGUUGAGCUAGAAUAUUGAGUGGAGCAAUCUAGCAUUCUGUAGGCCUGAGAUUCCAAAACAGUAGCAGCUAAUCCCUAUUCUAUCCCCUUGAAAUUUCAUCUCGGCUUAAUCCACACUCUCAAGUGCUUUCCAUCAACAUUUGACGUAGGAAGCUAUAAAUUAUCCAUGGAUAUUAGGUUUACCUUUAUGUACAGUAUUUGCUUAUUUCUUCAACAUGUUUUACCUCCUCAAAUUGAAGUUCAGUUCAGUACUAGGGUAUCAAUAACGUGAUGCAGAGCAUAGUAUGCUAUGGUUCAGAGGUGAC